CUCAUUCGGAUCGGAGUCUGCAACCCGACUCCGUGAAGCUGGAUUCGCUAGUAAUCGCGCAUCAGCCAUGGCGCGGUGAAUACGUUCCCGGGCCUUGUACACACCGCCCGUCAAGCCAUGGAAGCCGGGGGUGCCUGAAGUGUGCAGCCGCAAGGAGCGCCCUAAGGUAAAACCGGUGACUGGGGCUAAGUCGUAACAAGGUAAC
rnacentral:rRNA from 1 species